rnacentral:rRNA from 1 species
AACGAACGCUGGCGGCGUGCCUAACACAUGCAAGUCGAGCGCGAAAAGGGCAACCUGAGUAGAGCGGCGCACGGGUGCGUAACACGUGGGUAAUCUGCCUUAGAGUCGAGGAUAACCUUCCGAAAGGUUGGCUAAUACUCGGUAAGCUUACGGUGUCUUCGGACGCUGUGGGAAAAGUAGGCCUCUGUUUACAAGCUUACGCUCUGAGAUGAGCCCGCGGCCCAUCAGCUAGUUGGCGGUGUAACGGACCACCAAGGCAACGACGGGUAGCUGGGCUGAGAGGACGAUCAGCCACACUGGAACUGAGACACGGUCCAGACUCCUACGGGAGGCAGCAGUGGGGAAUUUUCCACAAUGGGCGAAAGCCUGAUGGAGCAACGCCGCGUGUGUGAUGAAGGUUUUCGGAUCGUAAAGCACUUUCGACUGGGACGAAAAACCUUUGGCUAACAUCCAGGGGCCUGACGGUACCAGGAGAAGAAGCACCGGCUAACUCUGUGCCAGCCGCCGCUGUAACAC